rnacentral:lncRNA from 1 species
CGCUUCCUUCAGACAGAUGAGUCUCGAGUCUAUGGUGUAGUGACACUAGAACGAGAGUGUAGGUGGUUGUUGGAGAACAACUAGCACUGAGUAUGAUCAAUACAAAAAGUUACAUAGAUGUCUGCUCACUCAUUAGUGAUUUUCUCGAUGCUGCAGUAGUGUGACUGGUGCUUUAACCUGCAGUGCUAUAGCUGCUCGCAGUGAGGUUGUUGGAGUUUGACUAUACAUAAACAUUGACUCAAUGAGUCCUUGUAAUGGAUAUUGGCGAUAGUUGAUCCACUAUAGGAGUAGGGUGUGCACCU